rnacentral:tRNA from 1 species
AAGGGUAUAGCUCAAGUGGUAGAGCACAUGCUUAGCAUGCAUGAGGUCCUGAGUUCAAUUCCCAGUAUCUCCU